AGCCCACCGUCCCCGGCCCAGUCCAGUAAGUCAACACCUAGGUUUUACGAGGCAGAGAAGCCAACCCCGUCCUUCUCGCGCAGCCACACCCACAACGCACAAACCUAGCCGUCCUUCAGUCUCGCUCUCGCCCUCUCCCAGUCCCAUCGGCAAACCGCCGCCGCCGCCCACUGUCCCACGCCGUCGUAGGCUGCCGGAUCCCCGCGGCCGCCCCCCUGCAGGCCGCCUCCAUCCUUGCUAGAUCUACGACCAAGCACCACCUCCGCCUCCAUCCUCGCUGGAUCCGCAGCCAAGCACCACCGCCACUCGACGCCGCCGUCUCAGUCCUCAUUCUCCCUCGAGCAGCAGGCUCACCACGCCGGAGCAGCAACGACGCCACCUCUGCAUCGAUCCCGUCCAACCGGAGCAGCACCGCCGCCAUCCUCGUUCUUCCUCCAAGGCUUCACCGCACCGGACCAGCACCGAAGCCAUCAUCGCGCCGGAGUAGCACCGAGGCCAUCACCGCGCCCUCCUUCUGUCUCACCAAGGUUUGCAACAGUAGAACAAUUCCAAACCUUUUCUAUUUAGUUUACAUCAGUAGAAUAGGUGAGAGAUGAGUUCAACUAAGUAAUUUUGUGUGGUCUUGUAUAGAUGAGUUCACCAGUGGAUAGUUUCUCGGCGCCGGGAGUGGAAAGCUCAGCUGUGCAUGGAACUCAACAUGACAAGUCAUCCACUCCACAAGCAACAGAGGGUACGGAUGGCAUAGAUGUUCACUUGCACCAAACAUGAUCGAAGCUCUUAUGUGUAUGCAAGCUUGGUCCCGUGCAGACAUGUUAGGUGAUAAUCUAUUUCAAUCAUGACUCUUCUUUCCAUACACAAUAUUAUUUCCUUGCUAUAUGUUAAUACCUAAAUCUAUGCAUCAGGGGAUUGCAAUUCUGCUCUCUUUGCGGACUUUGAAACUGUUCUUAAGGAUGACACAUAAAUGAUGGUAACAGAUUCUACUUUUAGCAACUUAGCAUGCCUUUUAAUCUUAGAUUUUAAUGCAAAUAUUGUUCUUUACUUUGAAUGCUUCUAUUUUCUUAUGUUUCAGGAGGUUGAUGAUCAAUCCAUCCUAACUGAAGCUUGAAACAUGAUUGUAUGAUGUUGCUGCUGCUGCUUGGUUGCGACGAGAAGGCCGAUGACCCGGCGUGCUACACUACUACCUGCUGUUAUUUACAUUUAUCCAUGGGCUGCUACCUACUUGCUACUGCUAGCUUGUUGGCACACUACUACUCAACCUGAACCUUGUAUUUGUGCAGCUGCUGAACCUUGUAUUUCUGCUGCUAUUUGUGCAACUGAACCUUGUAUUUCUGCUCCUGAACCUUGUAUUUGUGCUUCUGAAGACCUGCACCAUGUAUUUGUGAUGCUAUUUAUGUUCCUGAACCUUGUAUUUGCCUUCCUGAUACUGUGUUUUCAGCUUUUCUACUAUAUAUUCACAUUGAUGGUUAGUAACU
rnacentral:lncRNA from 1 species